rnacentral:rRNA from 1 species
UACGUAGGGAGCAAGCGUUGUUCGGAUUUACUGGGCGUAAAGGGCGUGUAGGCGGCGUGUUAAGUCAGCUGUGAAAUCUCCAAGCUCAACUUGGAACGGCCAGCUGAUACUGAUGUGCUAGAGUGCAGAAGGGGCAAUCGGAAUUCUUGGUGUAGCGGUGAAAUGCGUAGAUAUCAAGAGGAACACCUGAGGUGAAGACGGGUUGCUGGGCUGACACUGACGCUGAGGCGCGAAAGCCAGGGGAGCAAACGGG